rnacentral:sRNA from 1 species
UUCCUAAGUCCGUUGACUGGAGAAACGAAGGCGCAGUGACUGAAGUCAAAGA